GAUGAACGCUGGCGGCGUGCCUAAUACAUGCAAGUCGAGCGAAUGGAUUAAGAGCUUGCUCCUAUGAAGUUAGCGGCGGACGGGUGAGUAACACGUGGGUAACCUGCCCAUAAGACUGGGAUAACUCCGGGAAACCGGGGCUAAUACCGGAUAAUAUUUUGAACUGCAUGGUUCAAAAUUGAAAGGCGGCUUCGGCUGUCACUUAUGGAUGGACACGCGUCGCAUUAGCUAGUUGGUGAGGUAACGGCUCACCAAGGCAACGAUGCGUAGCCGACCUGAGAGGGUGAUCGGCCACACUGGGACUGAGACACGGCCCAGACUCCUGCGGGAGGCAGCAGUAGGGAAUCUUCCGCAAUGGACGAAAGUCUGACGGAGCAACGCCGCGUGAGUGAUGAAGGCUUUCGGGUCGUAAAACUCUGUUGUUAGGGAAGAACAAGUGCUAGUUGAAUAAGCUGGCACCUUGACGGUACCUAACCAGAAAGCCACGGCUAACUACGUGCCAGCAGCCGCAGUAA
rnacentral:rRNA from 1 species